AACGAACGCUGGCGGCAGGCCUAACACAUGCAAGUCGAGCGCCCGUAGCAAUACGGGAGCGGCAGACGGGUGAGUAACACGUGGGAACGUGCCCAAAGGUACGGAACAACUCCGGGAAACUGGAGCUAAUACCGUAUGUGCCCGAAAGGGGAAGAUUUAUCGCCUUUGGAUCGGCCCGCGUCUGAUUAGCUAGUUGGUGAGGUAAUGGCUCACCAAGGCGACGAUCAGUAGCUGGCUGAGAGGAUGAUCAGCCACACUGGGACUGAGACACGGCCCAGACUCCUACGGGAGGCAGCAGUGGGGAAUAUUGGACAAUGGGCGCAAGCCUGAUCCAGCCAUGCCGCGUGAGUGAUGAAGGCCCUAGGGUUGUAAAGCACUUUAGGCUGGAAAGAAAAGACUUCACCUAAUACGUGAAGCCUUGACGGUACCAGCAGAAUAAGCACCGGCU
rnacentral:rRNA from 1 species